rnacentral:tRNA from 1 species
GGGUUCGUGGUCUAGUGGUUAGGACGUCGCCCUUACAAGGCGAAGAUCGGCGGUUCAAAUCCGCCCGGACCCA